rnacentral:lncRNA from 1 species
UAGCCCAGAGUCCAGCCUAGUCCAAAAUUAAUACAGCCCAUAGCCCAGCCCAAAAUCAUAAAAGAUGUUAAGUAUAGCCCAGCAAAAGUCCUAGGGAAUCCAGCCCAAAAUUUGUACAUCCAGAGCCCAGCUUAGCCCAAAAUCAAUACAACCCAAAGCCUUGAGCCCAGCACAAAAUCAUAAAAGCCCAGCACAAAAUAUCAAAAUCCCUAAUUUGUGUAUUCUAAAGCCGUAGAUUCUAACCGAGAGGCUCUCAGUGCUGCGUCUGCUUCCUCAUCCACGGUCCAGUGAUUCUAGUUGUCUUCAACCGAGAGGCUCUCAGUGCUCUCCUUGUCCAGACUCCUCAAUCCUCACGAAGUCACGAUCUGUCUCUCAAAUAGCCAACAGGUAAACCGUAAACCAAAAAUCAAUAAAUGUGAUUUCGAAUUUGUAGGUUGGUUCUAUUAUCUAUACGUUUGUGUAUUGUAUGCGAGACCGUGUCUAUUUUAUUGAUUAUUUGUGUUUUUUAUGAUUUAUUUUGUACAGAUUAGAACCACUAAACCAGAGAAAUUAUUUUGUAGAAUCGGGAUCCCGAUUGUGAUUAUUAUGAAUACGAUUGUUCUCUGUACGGUUGUUCUCUGAACCACUAAACCAGAGAAAAUCAAUUUAUUUUGUUGGUUCUAUUAUCUACUGUUGUUCUUUGUAUAAAUUAAGUCAUUGAAACUAAGCCAAAAAUGGUGCAAAUGGUUGAUACAAUUUUUUUUAUUUCUUUGUGUCGAAAAUCGAGAUCAUUAUGAAUCCCAAGAUGGUCCCAGUGAACAAGAGGUUAAUUAUGACUUUCCUUUUGUAAUUGGUACCCAGUACGUGAAAGUUGAAACACUUCUACAAGGAAUAUUAUUUUUGUUUUUAACUGUUUAGUCCAUAUCAAUAGUUUGUUUUUAAUUACUAUUUACUAUUUUUAUUUUUAAGUGUUUAGUCCAUAUCAAUUAGUAUAGAUCUAAAAAAU